UACGGAGGGGGCAAGCGUUGUUCGGAAUUAUUGGGCGUAAAGGGCGCGUAGGCGGCCGACCAAGUCGGGUGUGAAAUCCCUCGGCUCAACCGAGGAACUGCAUUCGAUACUGGUUGGCUCGAGUCCGGGAGGGGAUGGUGGAAUUCCCAGUGUAGCGGUGAAAUGCGUAGAUAUUGGGAAGAACACCGGUGGCGAAGGCGACCAUCUGGACCGGAACUGACGCUGAGGCGCGAAAGCCAGGGGAGCGAAUGGG
rnacentral:rRNA from 1 species